rnacentral:rRNA from 1 species
GACGAACGCUGGCGGCGUGCUUAACACAUGCAAGUCGAACGGAAAGGCCCUGCUUUUGUGGGGUGCUCGAGUGGCGAACGGGUGAGUAACACGUGAGUAACCUGCCCUUGACUUUGGGAUAACUUCAGGAAACUGGGGCUAAUACCGGAUAGGAGCUCCUGCUGCAUGGUGGGGGUUGGAAAGUUUCGGCGGUUGGGGAUGGACUCGCGGCUUAUCAGCUUGUUGGUGGGGUAGUGGCUUACCAAGGCUGUGACGGGUAGCCGGCCUGAGAGGGUGACCGGCCACCUUGGGCCUGCGAUACGGCCCAGACUCCUACGGGAGGCAGCAGUGGGGAAUAUUGCCCAAUGGGCGGAAGCCUGAUGCAGCAACGCCGCGUGCGGGAUGACGGCCUUCGGGUUGUAAACCGCUUUCGCCUGUGACGAAGCGUGAGUGACGGUAAUGGGUAAAGAAGCACCGGCUAACUACGUG